rnacentral:rRNA from 1 species
AUUGAACGCUGGCGGCAGGCCUAACACAUGCAAGUCGAGCGGAUGAAGGGAGCUUGCUCCUGGAUUCAGCGGCGGACGGGUGAGUAAUGCCUAGGAAUCUGCCUGGUAGCGGGGGAUAACGUCCGGAAACGGGCGCUAAUACCGCAUACGGCCUGAGGGAGAAAGGGGGGGAUCUUCGGACCUCACGCUAUCAGAUGAGCCUAGGUCGGAUUAGCUAGUUGGUGGGGUAAAGGCCUACCAAGGCGACGAUCCGUAACUGGUCUGAGAGGAUGAUCAGUCACACUGGAACUGAGACACGGUCCAGACUCCUACGGGAGGCAGCAGUGGGGAAUAUUGGACAAUGGGCGAAAGCCUGAUCCAGCCAUGCCGCGUGUGUGAAGAAGGUCUUCGGAUUGUAAAGCACUUUAAGUUGGGAGGAAGGGCAGUAAGUUAAUACCUUGCUGUUUUGACGUUACCAACAGAAUAAGCACCGGCUAACUUCGUG